rnacentral:rRNA from 1 species
GAGUUUGAUCCUGGCUCAGGAUGAACGCUAGCGGCAGGCUUAACACAUGCAAGUCGAGGGGUAUUAGGAGCUUGCUCCUAAGAGACCGGCGCACGGGUGCGUAACGCGUAUGCAAUCUACCUUUUACAGAGGGAUAGCCCAGAGAAAUUUGGAUUAAUACCUCAUAGUAUAAUGACUCGGCAUCGAGAUAUUAUUAAAGUCACAACGGUAAAAGAUGAGCAUGCGUCCCAUUAGCUAGUUGGUGUGGUAACGGCACACCAAGGCAACGAUGGGUAGGGGUCCUGAGAGGGAGAUCCCCCACACUGGUACUGAGACACGGACCAGACUCCUACGGGAGGCAGCAGUGAGGAAUAUUGGUCAAUGGGCGCAAGCCUGAACCAGCCAUGCCGCGUGCAGGAUGACGGUCCUAUGGAUUGUAAACUGCUUUUGUACAGGAAGAAACACUCCCUCGUGAGGGAGCUUGACGGUACUGUAAGAAUAAGGAUCGGCUAACUCCGUGCCAGCAGCCGCGGUAAUGCGGAGGAUCCAAGCGUUAUCCGGAAUCAUUGGGUUUAAAGGGUCCGUAGGCGGGUUAAUAAGUCAGUGGUGAAAGCCCAUCGCUCAACGAUGGAACGGCCAUUGAUACUGUUAGUCUUGAAUUAUUAGGAAGUAACUAGAAUAUGUAGUGUAGCGGUGAAAUGCUUAGAGAUUACAUGGAAUACCAAUUGCGAAGGCAGGUUACUACUAAUGGAUUGACGCUGAUGGACGAAAGCGUGGGUAGCGAACAGGAUUAGAUACCCUGGUAGUCCACGCCGUAAACGAUGGAUACUAGCUGUUCGGAGCAAUCUGAGUGGCUAAGCGAAAGUGAUAAGUAUCCCACCUGGGGAGUACGUUCGCAAGAAUGAAACUCAAAGGAAUUGACGGGGGCCCGCACAAGCGGUGGAGCAUGUGGUUUAAUUCGAUGAUACGCGAGGAACCUUACCAAGGCUUGAAUGUAGAUUGACAGGACUGGAAACAGUUUUUUCUUCGGACAAUUUAC